UAAGUGGGGACAUAACAUAGUGUUCUACACUCUAUACUUCUGUGCAUUACAUUUUGUAGCUCCUAGUUACUUAAUGAACAAUGUUCUAUGCCUAAACUGGAUAUGGUGUUAAGGAUUUGUUUCUUUUCAUUUUGCAUAAUGAACAACCGUGCAUAACAAAAACAACUAUGGAAGAGCUUAAUUAUGUGGUAGCAGGUAAUGUACUUGUCGCAGAUUCAUCACCGAAUCUUAGUUAAAAUAUUAAGUUACUGCCACGAAAGUGGAUUUCAAAUGUUGGUUUUUGAAUAUUUACCAAAUGAAAGCAUUUGCAAUAUCCUAUAUGGUAUACCUCCUUUUACUGAUCAUACUGAUGCAUAUAUACGUACGCAAGUUACAUAUAUAUGCCAUUCAUUUUUUGGCAGAUACUAAACAGGAUCCAUCAACUAAACUAGAGUUUAAGCAAAGGUGAUGAUCAGUCACUUCUUACUUGGAAUCUCUGGGACAACAUCAGUAACAAGCAUGUCUGUAGUUGGUCAUCAAAGAGAGGUAGUACCUUGAAGCAUCAAUUCAAGCUUGGUGAGCAGCUUCUGUUUCAAUGUUGAAGUAGAGGAAGAUAAGCACCUUGUAAAGCUUAAUUAUCUUGUAAACUUUCAUAGAAGCUUCAUUCAUUUUGUAACAUUCAUGAGAAAAAUUAAAAUGUUACAUUCCCUUUUGUAUAAGCUUUA